GACACAAGGUUUGGAUUGCCUUGGCCAAGAUGAAAUCAGUUGGCGCCACAUUCGUCAAAGGAAGAGAUAUGCUAGGUUUAUACCAACACAAAGAGCAGAAUAUAUUCAGAAGACAAUGCAAAAUAGAAAGAGGAAACGCAAUGCACAUUAUACUUCUCCAAACACAAAUCAUGGUUGUGAACUCUCAGAUGGGCAAACACAAAAUCCAUCACCACAUUUCCCUCUGGAGGACAACCUAAUGGAUUCUGAAAUGAUCGGACAACGACUGCGGGAAGUCCAUCUUUCCCAACCACAUUAUCAUUUCCAAAUGGAGCAUGGAGGCUUUUCCCUGGCAACUGGAAACGAUGCAUCUUUCGUAUCUAAUCGGCACGACGACAUCUAAACUGAUAUACUCCCAUGCAAACAUUGCUAACAACAAGGAAAAAGGAAAGCCCCCUUCCGCAUCCCCAUCUCCUCUCUCCCUUUCUCUCUCCCACUCUCUCAAUCAUUGGAUUCCUCCUAGCUUCAUGCGUAACAAUUUAUUUCUUCAAAUUAAGGGCAGACAUUAAUCAUCAUGCAAUCCUGGUAACAUGAAGGUAUGCUCUCUCAAAUACAUUCUUUUACGGGCUUUUAUAGACGCAACGUCAUCGGAUGGAAUCCAACAAAUAAUUAGUUCACUCACUAAUGUUUUAGUUUCCUGAAAUAGUUUGCCUUGAUGGAUGAUGAAUGUCUGAAGAUAGAGGUUCAGAAAUUGGUGGAGGGUAACAUUUAGAGAUGGAGUUAUUGCUCGGGACCACAGAGACUAUGAGUUCUCUUCUCGAAUACAGGAAAUUUUUCUGGAGAUCUUCACGUGGGGAAGAAUUGCACGGAGAAAAUAAUUGGAGUGGAAAUUGCAAAAUUACAAUGCUACUGCAUUUUGUUGUUUGGACCGAAAAAAUAGAAGAGUUCUGUCAUCGAAUCUAGGUUUAUGGACUCCAUGGAUGUAGAAAGUGGGGUGCCCAAUGAUCAUUUCAAAUAU